rnacentral:rRNA from 1 species
CUACGGGGGGCUGCAGUGAGGAAUAUUGCACAAUGGAGGAAACUCUGAUGCAGCAACGCCGCGUGGAGGAUGACGCAUUUCGGUGUGUAAACUCCUUUUAUAUGUCAAGAAAAUGACGGUAGCAUAUGAAUAAGCUCCGGCUAACUCCGUGCCAGCAGCCGCGGUAAUACGGAGGGAGCAAGCGUUACUCGGAAUCACUGGGCGUAAAGGACGCGUAGGCGGGAUAGAAAGUCAGGUGUGAAAUCCUAUGGCUCAACCAUAGAACUGCACUUGAAACUUCUAACCUAGAGUAUGGGAGGGGAAGAUGGAAUUAGUGGUGUAGGGGCAACAUCCGUAGAUAUCACUAGGAAUACCAAAAGCGAAGGCGAUCUUCUGGAACAAUACUGACGCUAAGGCGUGAAAGCGUGGGGAGCAAACAGGAUUAGAUACCCCAGUAGUC